GAUGAACGCUGGCGGCGUGCUUAACACAUGCAAGUCGAACGGAAAGGCCCAAGCUUGCUUGGGUACUCGAGUGGCGUACGGGUGAGUAACACGUGGGUGAUCUGCCCUGCACUUCGGGAUAAGCCUGGGAAACUGGGUCUAAUACCGGAUAGGACCACAUUUUGGAUGGUGUGGUGGAAAGUUUUUCGGUGUGGGAUGAGCUCGCGGCCUAUCAGCUUGUUGGUGGGGUAAUGGCCUACCAAGGCGUCGACGGGUAGCCGGCCUGAGAGGGUGUACGGCCACAUUGGGACUGAGAUACGGCCCAGACUCCUACGGGAGGCAGCAGUGGGGAAUAUUGCACAAUGGGCGCAAGCCUGAUGCAGCGACGCCGCGUGGGGGAUGACGGCCUUCGGGUUGUAAACUCCUUUCGCUAGGGACGAAGCGCAAGUGACGGUACCUGGAGAAGAAGCACCGGCUAACUACGUG
rnacentral:rRNA from 1 species